rnacentral:rRNA from 1 species
CAAAUGAAUUGACGGGACCCGCACAAGCGGUGGAUGAUGUGGUUUAAUUCGAUGCAACGCGAAAACCUUACCCACCUUUGACAUGUACGGAACCUUUAGAGAUAGAGGGGUGCUCGAAAGAGAGCCGUAACACAGGUGCUGCAUGGCUGUCGUCAGCUCGUGUCGUGAGAUGUUGGGUUAAGUCCCGCAACGAGCGCAACCCUUGUCAUUAGUUGCUACAUUCAGUUGGGCACUCUAAUGAGACUGCCGGUGACAAGCCGGAGGAAGGUGGGGAUGACGUCAAGUCCUCAUGGCCCUUAUAGGUGGGGCUACACACGUCAUACAAUGGCUGGUACAAAGGGUUGCCAACCCGCGAGGGGGAGCCAAUCCCAUAAAGCCAGUCGUAGUCCGGAUCGUAGUCUGCAACUCGACUACGUGAAGUCGGAAUCGCUAGUAAUCGUGGAUCAGAAUGUCACGGUGAAUACGUUCCCGGGUCUU